rnacentral:rRNA from 1 species
AUUGAACGCUGGCGGCAGGCUUUCCUCUUGCAAGUCGAGCGAGCGGCGGACGGGUGAGUAAUGUCUGGGAAACUGCCUGAUGUAGGGGGUUAACUACUGGAAACGGUAGAUAAUACCGCAUACCAUCGGAUGUGCCCAGAUGGGAUUAGCUAGUAGGUGGGGUAAUGGCUCACCUAGGCUACGAUCCCUAGCUGGUCUGAGAGGAUGACCAUCCACUGUGGAACUGAGACACGGUCCAGACUCCUACGGGAGGCAGCAGUGGUGAAUAUUGUACAAUGGGCGCAAGCCUGAUGCAGCCAUGCCGCGUGUAUGAAGAAGGCCUUCGGGUUGUAAAGUACUUUCAGCGGGGAGGCGUUACCCGCAGAAGAAGCAACGGCUAACUCCGGGCCAGCAGCCGCGGUAAUUC